rnacentral:rRNA from 1 species
CAGCCGCCGCGGUAAUACGGAGGGGGCUAGCGUUGUUCGGAAUUACUGGGCGUAAAGCGCACGUAGGCGGCUUGGUAAGUUAGAGGUGAAAGCCCGGAGCUCAACUCCGGAAUUGCCUUUAAGACUGCCGAGCUAGCAGGUGAGAGAGGUAAGUGGAAUUCCGAGUGUAGAGGUGAAAUUCGUAGAUAUUCAAAAGAACACCAGUGGCGAAGGCGGCUUACUGGCUCAUACUGGACGCUGAGGUGCGAAAGCGUGGGGAGCAAACAGGAUUAGAUACCCCGGUAGUCCCUGUCUCUUAUAC